CGCUGGGCCGUCUUCUGCCGGCCGCAAGGCCGGGGCUCCCCGCCGCUCUCGAAAAGCCGCAGGUACUAAACAGACAAGUACUUUGAAACAAGAAGAUGCUUCUAAAAGGGGAAGUUCAUUACACCUGCUCACUACAGCGAUGUCGUGGAUGAACGUUCUAUUGUCAAACUCUGUGGUUAUCCUUUAUGUCAGAAGAAGCUGGGAAUUGUACCAAAACAGAAAUAUAAAAUUUCUACCAAAACCAAUAAAGUCUAUGAUAUUACUGAAAGAAAGUCUUUUUGCAGCAAUUUUUGUUAUCAAGCAUCUAAGUUUUUUGAAGCACAAAUUCCCAAAACUCCAGUAUGGGUUCGAGAAGAAGAGAGGCAUCCCGAUUUUCAACUGCUAAAGGAAGAACAAAGUGGCCAUUCUGGAGAAGAAGUACAGUUAUGCAGUAAAGCCAUUAAAACAUCAGAUAUCGACAAUCCUAGCCACUUUGAAAAGCAAUAUGAAUCUAGUUCUUCUAGCACUCACAGUGAUAGUAGCAGUGACAAUGAGCAAGACUUUGUUUCCUCCAUUCUACCAGGAAACAGACCAAAUUCUACAAGUAUUAGACCACAGCUGCACCAAAAAAGCAUAAUGAAAAAGAAAGCUGGUCACAAAGCUAACUCCAAACACAAAGACAAAGAACAGACAGUAAUAGAUGUCACUGAGCAGUUAGGCGAUUGCAAAUUAGAUAGUCAGGAGAAAGAUGCUACAUGUGAACUUCCUUUACAGAAAGUAAAUACUCAGAGUUCUUCAAACAGCACUUUGCCUGAAAGAUUAAAAGCUUCAGAAAAUUCUGAAAGUGAAUACAGUAGGUCAGAAAUAACUCUAGUAGGCAUAAGUAAGAAAAGUGCAGAGCAUUUUAAGAGAAAAUUUGCCAAAUCAAACCAAGUGUCUAGGUCAGUCUCUAGUUCAGUGCAGGUGUGUCCUGAAGUUGGAAAGAGAAACUUACUUAAAAUUUUGAAGGAGACUUUGAUUGAGUGGAAGACAGAAGAAACAUUGAGGUUUUUGUAUGGC
rnacentral:sRNA from 1 species